UGUUAAUCAGAAAUAAUAUCAUGCAUUUGUCUGAUGAGCACGUUUUCAAGUCAAGAAAAUACACUGUAGUGCUCCACAGAGAAAAACUUCUUAGAAACUUCUCUAAAAGCAGGUAAAUUUGUUGUUUUGAGCAGUACUGGAAUGGAAUGAUGACUCAGAGAUUUUUCCAAGACAAAGCGAGGAGCUGAUACUAAGUUCUUCUGAAUCUAGAUGCUGCUUGGAGUACGUCCCUCAUUACCAGCACUGAUUUUUAAUAGUAUACAAAUUUUUCUGCUGCUUGAUCUUAAAGUAAUUUCAGCCCCUACAUAGAUCAAGAUGGUCUUAUUUUACAAAACAUCUGGAAUCACUUUUUGGCUCUGCUAUCUACUUUCCAGUCAAGAUAACUGCAACAAGCACAACAAACUCCCUGUGCUUUUUGAAGCUGCAUACUAAUUGGGAGAGCUAUAACAUUAAACUCAAGUGACAGCACCAUUCAUACAUAGGAUGUCUGUCCAGACUUUGCCUAAUCGCUUCAAACAACUGCACUCUUAUGUGAGCUGUUUUUCAGUCCUGCACAUAACGAAAAAAAUGAAUAAUUUUGCCAGCAUGUUGUCUUCCUAAACACUUGGCUCGUUUGUGAGUUUCCGACCAACAUCAAGUUCAAUUAAAAUUGUACUUUUCAAGCCAUUUUUUUCCUUUCCUGCAACCAAGGCAGUCAAUUUUUGAAUGCAUAAAGAGUCUAUCAGCGUUACAAUCAGUUUUUCAUCAUGCAAAUAUGAACAGCUCCCAGGAGAUCCUUCUAUCAGCUUCUGCAAUGCCUGCUCAGCAAGAGAACUGCAAAUCAUCCGAUAGAAAAACACUCUGAAUAUUCAUUUAGAAUAUAAGAUACGGUCAUGCUGGAUCCAAAUGUUUUACAAUUGUCUGAUAUUAAAGUACGUGAUAUUUCAUUACCCUCAGACCAGCAUAAACUUGAUAUGAACUCUCAGUUUAUUGCCACUCAAGUAUACUGGAACAAAUCAAAUCCCUGAGAAAAUAAUUAACAUUUACGCAUACAUGUGAGCUUUCAACCUUUAAGUUACUGGCUGUCAUCCACUGUUAUAAAUUUGAACGCUAGAACACAAAAAAGAAAGUAUAGCUCAGCAAUCUGUAAAGGGAAGAUUGAUACCUG
rnacentral:lncRNA from 1 species